UACGUAGGGUGCAAGCGUUGUUCGGAAUCAUUGGGCGUAAAGCGCGUGUAGGCGGUUAGAUAAGUCAGAUGUGAAAUCCCUGGGCUCAACCGAGGAAGUGCAUUUGAAACUAUCUAGCUAGAGAGUGGUAGAGGAAGGUGAAUUCCGUGUGUAGAGGUGAAAUUCGUAGAUAUACGGAGGAAUACCGGUGGCGAAGGCGGCCUCUGGACCAUUUCUGACGCUGAGACGCGAAAGCGUGGGGAGCAAACAGG
rnacentral:rRNA from 1 species